rnacentral:lncRNA from 1 species
AGCUUUCAAGGUAGUUGGCGGAAUUAUUUUCUUGAAGGGCUGUUGGACUGAGAGCCUUGGUUCUUAGCUGGUGCUUGGCUGAAGGCCACCCUUUAGUCCUUGCCACGUGGACUUCUUCAGUGUGACUGCUUGCUUCAUUAAAUCACGCAGGCCAAGCAGGCCAAGCAGGCUGUUCAGUCUUUAAGGUGAUAGUUAGCUUUAUGUAAUCUAGUCAUUGUCAUCUAUUCAUAUUUAAGAUGAUAGUUAGCUUUAUGUAAUCUAGUCAUUGUCAUCUAUUCAUAUUUAAGGUGAUAGUUAGCUUUAUGUAAUCUAGUCAUGGUCAUCUAUUCAUAUUUAAGGUGAUAGUUAACUUUAUGUAAUCUAGUCAUGGUCAUCUAUUCAUAUUUAAGGUGAUAGUUAGCUUUAUGUAAUCUAGUCAUGGUCAUCUAUUCAUAUUUAAGGUGAUAGUUAGCUUUAUGUAAUCUAGUCAUUGUAAUCUAUUCAUAUUUAAGGUGAUAGUUAACUUUAUGUAAUCUAGUCAUUGUAAUCUAUUCAUAUUUAAGGUGAUAGUUAGCUUUAUGUAAUCUAGUCAUGGUGUCUCAGUACCUUUGCCAGACUCCUCGGAUGGAGGUUUUAGGCCCUCCCCAUACAAGGAGUGGGGUUAACCAAGGGCAUGGACACUAGGAGGGAGAAGCCAUCAGGAGAACAUGUUAAAGUUUGCUUGCCACAAUUGUAACCUGCUAUCACUAUUCAUUUGAUGUUUAGAUUGUUUAACAUUUGUUUACUCUUCCAGCUUUUCGUCUGUCCACUCUGCCAUUUUGACGUGUCUCCUGAUCUUUGAACACUUCAAGAAGUUGUUCCAAACUCAUCUUAAAUUUUUAAGGCUAGAGCUCUGGACUUAGUCAUUGUUCUAAGGCUCUAUUUAGAACAAUCAAAUGUGUUCAUUUUUUACUAGAUUUUUAGUAAUAGGCAUUCUCAAUUGGUAUUGUGUGUGUGUGUGUGUGUAAAGGUAUGCAUAUACACACUUCAUUUCUCAAGUUCUGUCUCAUAGUAUUAUCUUCAGUUGUAACACAGCAAUAUACCAUUGAUUCUGGUUUUUUUUUUUUUCUUUUUCUUUUCUUCUUCUUCUUUCUCUGAUAAGCCUGACUAUUUUUCUCAGUCUCCUCCCCAUCACAUGGAAGUCUCCUUUACUUUUGGUUACUUGACAGCAGUGCUGCCUUCACCUUCUUUAAAACCUAGGUGUGAAACUGAGUUCUGGACUCUGUCUUUUCACCUCUUGCAGUGCCUCAUGUGCCCUUAAGGAACCUUCCUGCCCCUUGCCCUGCCCGGUGUGGGUGUGGAUUCUCAAGUCCUCCUGCUCACUGGAGUCUCGUCCCUAGCUCCAUGCCAGGCCCAUCUGCUUCCAGUGAUGUUCUCAUGCUAUUUGGACUCCAAAAGCUUGUUUUGAGCCACUGCAGUCACCUAGCAAGAGGCCUGCUUAGCUCGUACUCACUAGUGACUGCUUCCUCUAAUUGUGUAGAGAGGGAGGAGACCAGGAAAAGCUCUAUCACUUACAUUUUUUUUUUUAAAAGCUUCACUUUGGUUUUGAUUGCUUGUUUUUUGUUUGUUUUGGUUUUGGUUUUUGUUGUGUUGUUGUUGUUUUUUGUGUAGCCUUGUCUGGCCUGGAAAUAACUUUGUAUACCAAGGCUAGCCUGAAACUCAGAGAUCUUCCUGCUGCCUCUGCCUUUGAGUGUUGGGAUUAAAGAUUUGCACUACCACCACUUAGUGGGUCUUUAUUGAAAGAGUUUAUAAAGACCACUGACAUUAGCCUAGGGGUGGGGAGGGAAUGAGAAAGAAAAUGAAUUAGUGCAUAUGAUUUUUAAAAGUAUUUUUGGCUUUUUAAAAAAAAUAUAUCUGAAUACAGUAUAGCUGUCUUCAGACACACCAGAAGAGGGUGUCAGAUCUCAUGACAGAUGGUUGUGAGCCACCAUGUGGUUGCUGGGAAUUGGACUCAGGACCUCUAGAAGAGCAGUCAGUACUCUUAACCCCUGAGCCAUCUCUCCAUCCCCCAUCCAUGACUUUCAAAAAUGCCUCCCCAGCUUUCUUUUUUGAGACAAGAUCUUAGCCCAGAGUAACCUAACUUAGAUUUUCAGCAUUAAAGUGCCACUUUUAUGUAUACUUUUCUAGGUAGAAUAUUGUAGUUUAGAUCCUAUAUUUACCAUUUGCUAGGUACCCCGCAACUUUUGCUAAUUGACUAACCCCCCUUUAUCAGGGAUUAUACAGGUCAAUAAUUGUGGAAGUUUUUCAUCUAACUUGCCUUAUACUCUAGUUGACUUAAUCUGUAAGUAGUGAUUUCUCUCUGGUGUGUGUUUUGCAUUGUUUUCUGAUGAUUAAAGACACAUUUUUUUUUUGAACAUUUACCAUGGCCAGAUUAAUUGGCUUGUUGUUGUUGUGCUGUUUUGUUUGUAAUAGAAGAAAGUUUAUUUAGGCAUUAUGUUUUCAGGGGGUUGGAGUCCACAAUGCUGCUGCCUAUGUUCCAACACAGGCAGCAGGGGGCAGCCAACUAGGGCAGCCUCUGAGAGCUCACAUCUUGAGCUUCAAGAGGCAAAGAGAAUAUUGGAAAUUUGAGAAACCCCGUCUCAAAAAACCAAAAAGC